GUUUUCUAGUUUCAACCGCUAAUACUAGUAGAUUUUUACAUGCUGCCGCUCCCCAAGACAGGCACCUCCCCUCCCAUCGAGGACCGGUGCUGCCCCGACUCCGACUCCGAGGACUGCCGCGGCGCUGCCCCGACUCUGACUACGAGGACCGGCGCGGCGCUGCCGCGACUCCGACGGCCACUCUCCCAUCUUCACCAUGGCCCUGAGCCUUGGACUACGAUCAUGAGGACUACCAAGAAUUGAUAGAUAUAAUCCAUAGAGCUUAUACCAAAUACGUUAGGAAAGGUGGGCUGCAUGACAAACAAAAGAAACAAAUGACUGUCCGUACACAUUUUCCG